rnacentral:rRNA from 1 species
CAGCCGCCACGGGAAUACGUAGGUGGCAAGCGUUGUCCGGAAUUAUUGGGCGUAAAGGGCUCGCAGGCGGUUUCUUAAGUCUGAUGUGAAAGCCCCCGGCUCAACCGGGGAGGGUCAUUGGAAACUGGGAAACUUGAGUGCAGAAGAGGAGAGUGGAAUUCCACGUGUAGCGGUGAAAUGCGCAGAGAUGUGGAGGAACACCAGUGGCGAAGGCGACUCUCUGGUCUGUAACUGACGCUGAGGAGCGAAAGCGUGGGGAGCGAACAGGAUUAGAUACCCCGGUAGUCCCUGUCUCUUAUAC